GGGGAUUUAGCUCAGCGGUAGAGCACUUGCCUAGCAAGCACAAGGCCCUGGGUUCGGUCCCCAGCUCUG
rfam:Rattus norvegicus chromosome 10, whole genome shotgun sequence.